rnacentral:rRNA from 1 species
UAGGUUAAUGAGGCGAACCGGGGGAACUGAAACAUCUAAGUACCCCGAGGAAAAGAAAUCAACCGAGAUUCCCCCAGUAGCGGCGAGCGAACGGGGAGGAGCCCAGAGCCUGAAUCAGCAUGUGUGUUAGUGGAAGCGUCUGGAAAGGCGCGCGAUACAGGGUGACAGCCCCGUACACAAAAGCGCAUGUGCUGUGAGCUCGAUGAGUAGGGCGGGACACGUGGUAUCCUGUCUGAAUAUGGGGGGACCAUCCUCCAAGGCUAAAUACUCCUGACUGACCGAUAGUGAACCAGUACCGUGAGGGAAAGGCGAAAAGAACCCCGGCGAGGGGAGUGAAAAAGAACCUGAAACCGUGUACGUACAAGCAGUGGGAGCACCCUUUGGGUGUGACUGCGUACCUUUUGUAUAAUGGGUCAGCGACUUAUAUUCUGUAGCAAGGUUAACCGAAUAGGGGAGCCGGAGGGAAACCGAGUCUUAACCGGGCGUUAAGUUGCAGGGUAUAGACCCGAAACCCGGUGAUCUAGCCAUGGGCAGGUUGAAGGUUGGGUAACACUAACUGGAGGACCGAACCGACUAAUGUUGAAAAAUUAGCGGAUGACCUGUGGCUGGGGGUGAAAGGCCAAUCAAACCGGGAGAUAGCUGGUUCUCCCCGAAAGCUAUUUAGGUAGCGCCUCGUGAAUUCAUCUCCGGGGGUAGAGCACUGUUUCGGCUAGGGGGCCAUCCCGGCUUACCAACCCGAUGCAAACUGCGAAUACCGGAGAAUGUUAUCACGGGAGACACACGGCGGGUGCUAACGUCCGUCGUGAAGAGGGAAACAACCCAGACCGCCAGCUAAGGUCCCAAAGUCAUGGUUAAGUGGGAAACGAUGUGGGAAGGCCCAGACAGCCAGGAUGUUGGCUUAGAAGCAGCCAUCAUUUAAAGAAAGCGUAAUAGCUCACUGGUCGAGUCGGCCUGCGCGGAAGAUGUAACGGGGCUAAACCAUGCACCGAAGCUGCGGCAGCGACACUGUGUGUUGUUGGGUAGGGGAGCGUUCUGUAAGCCUGUGAAGGUGUGUCGUGAGGCAUGCUGGAGGUAUCAGAAGUGCGAAUGCUGACAUAAGUAACGAUAAAGCGGGUGAAAAGCCCGCUCGCCGGAAGACCAAGGGUUCCUGUCCAACGUUAAUCGGGGCAGGGUGAGUCGACCCCUAAGGCGAGGCCGAAAGGCGUAGUCGAUGGGAAACGGGUUAAUAUUCCCGUACUUGGUGUUACUGCGAAGGGGGGACGGAGAAGGCUAUGUUGGCCGGG